UACAGAGGUCUCAAGCGUUGUUCGGAUUCAUUGGGCGUAAAGGGUGCGUAGGUGGCGCCAUAAGUCGGGUGUGAAAUUUCGGAGCUUAACUCCGAAACUGCAUUCGAUACUGGAUGGCUUGAGUUUGGGAGAGGGACGCGGAAUUCCAGGUGUAGCGGUGAAAUGCGUAGAUAUCUGGAGGAACACCGGUGGCGAAGGCGGCGUCCUGGACCAACACUGACACUGAUGAGCGAAAGCCAGGGGAGCAAACGGG
rnacentral:rRNA from 1 species